rnacentral:rRNA from 1 species
AACGAACGCUGGCGGCGUGGAUAAGACAUGCAAGUCGAACGGGACAGACCGAGUAGCAAUAUUUGGAAUACUCAGUGGCGAACGGGUGCGUAACACGUGGAUAACAUUCCGGAAAGCGGGGAAUAGCCCAGGGAAACUUGGAUUAAUACCGCAUGUGGCCGCAAGGCUAAAGACGGGGACCGCAAGGCCUGUCACUUUCCGAUUGGUCCGCGGCCUAUCAGCUAGUUGGCGGGGUAAUGGCCCACCAAGGCUACGACGGGUAGCUGGUCUUAGAGGACGACCAGCCACACUGGAACUGAGACACGGUCCAGACACCUACGGGUGGCAGCAGUCGAGAAUCUUUCACAAUGGGGGCAACCCUGAUGGAGCGACGCCGCGUGGAGGAUAAGGUCUUCGGAUUGUAAACUCCUGUCAUGCGAGAACAAGGUACUCAGGCUAAUAACCUGAUUGUUUGAUGGUACCGCAAGAGGAAGAGACGGCUAACUCUGUGCCAGCAGCCGCCGUAAGAC